CGAGGCCGUGGGGCGGCGAGGCAGGACGCCGAGCCGCUAGGAGACCGGUCGGCGGUUCAAUUCCGCCCGCCUCGACCA
rnacentral:tRNA from 1 species